AACCCGUGAGUUGGAGAUUGAGUUAGAUAGUACUUGAACCUCUCCCAUGCAGAAUAUAAUUGUUCUCCCGGGAGCUGUUUGAACUUAAAGAUCUUAUCUCGAAGUU